GGGGGUUUGGUCAGAGAAAAACAUAAGGAGAAGGAAGAAAACGCUUCAGCUUUCAGUCGGUAUAUGGACUGAAGUUCAAGAUAUGGUGGCCUGCAGUUUCGUUUCUGCAACUACAGUCGAUUGUGACUUAGAUUUUGCAACUGCAGUCGACUGCAACACAGAUUUUGCAGCUGAGGUAGCUUGCAGUAUACCUGCAAUUUUGUUUCUGCAUCUGCAGUCGCCUGUAAUAUAGAUUUUGCAGCUGCAGUGGUUUGCACUUUACCUGCAAUUUUGUUUCUGCAACUUAAGUCGCCUGUAAUACAUAUAUUACAACUGCUAUGCUUUGCAGUUUACCUGCAAUGCAGUUUUUCCAGCUGCUGUUGCCUGUAACUCUGUUUUUGUAGCUGCAGUGAUAUGCAGUUUGCCUGCAAUUCUGUUUCUGCAACUUAAAUCGCUUGUAAUACAUAUAUUACAGCUGUUAUGCUUUGCAGUUUACCUGCGACUCAGUUUUUGCAGCUGCAGUUGCCUGUAACUCAGUUUUUGCAGAUGCGAUGAUUUGCAGUUUACCCGCAAUUCGGUUUCCGCAACUUAAGUCGCCUGUAAUAAUAUAUUACGGCUGCUAUGCUUUGCAGUUUACCUGCAACUCAGUUUUUGCAGCUGCAGUUGCCUGUAACUCAGUUUUUGCAGCCUGGUUCAACUUUAACUUUUAGCAUUCCUUGUAUUUUGAAUUGUAACAUUCCUUGUAUUAAUAUGAGGGGUGAUAUUAGGGUUUGAAUGUUCAUGUCACAUACUGUAGAUUUUCUUAUGUUUAAUCCUGGGUCCAUAUUUUCUGUCACACCAUUAAAUGGACAGUUCUAGCCAACCUGCUGAAAACAACAAGAAUAAAAAGAAUGUUAGGAAGAAUAAGAAUACAAAACCCGAUACGAAUACGAAUUACAAACAAUGGACAACACGAGAGACUGAGAAACUAUUGGAACUGUUAGUAGAAGCUACACUUGAGAAGAAGAAAGACACUAAUGGAUGUUUUACUAAGAGACUACUGGAAGAUUACAUACUCCAAAACUUAACCAAGCAUGUGAUUGUGACAAAUAUUAUGAGAACUUUAAAGGGAAAUAUAGAUGGUUCAAGACUAGAUUUGGUUACUAAUAGAAUUUGUUUAAAUCUUGUACUUCUGGAUUCGGUUGGGAUGACAAUAACAAGAUGAUUACUGGAACCGACGAGAUGUGGAACAAUUACUUUGAGAGCCAUCCAAAGAAAACUAAUCUAAGGGACGAAAAUGG